UACACGGGGACGCAGCAGUGGGGAAUUUUUGGACAAUGGAAACCCUGAUCCAGCCAUCCCGCGUGUGCGAUGAAGGCCUUCGGGUUGUAAGCUUCUUUGGCGGAAGAAAACGCGCGGAUGAAAUACGAAUGCAACUAAGGCAAAAUACCACUGCGAAUGCUUACAGUAACUACUGUGCCCAACAGCCGCGGUAAUACGUAGGGUGCAAGCGUUGAUAAAAGGAUACUACGGGCGUAAAGCGUGCGCAGGCGAGUUCGGAAAGAAAGAUGUGAAAUCCGGAAGCGCUUUGGAACUGCAUUUUUAACUACCGAGCUAGAGUGUGUCAGAGGAGGUGGAAUUCCGCGUGUAGCAGUGAAAUGCGUAGAUAUGCGGAGGGAACACCGAUGGCGAAGGCAGCCUCCUGGGAUAACACUGACGCUCAUGCACGAAAGCGUGGGAGCAAACGAGUUAGGCCCUGGUAGU
rnacentral:misc_RNA from 1 species